UACGUAGGUGGCAAGCGUUAUCCGGAAUUAUUGGGCGUAAAGCGCGCGCAGGUGGUUUCUUAAGUCUGAUGUGAAAGCCCACGGCUCAACCGUGGAGGGUCAUUGGAAACUGGGAGACUUGAGUGCAGAAGAGGAAAGUGGAAUUCCAUGUGUAGCGGUGAAAUGCGUAGAGAUAUGGAGGAACACCAGUGGCGAAGGCGGCAUCCUGGACCGAGACUGACACUGAGGAGCGAAAGCCAGGGGAGCAAACGGG
rnacentral:rRNA from 1 species